ensembl:lncRNA
AUGCUUUUAUCAUAUUGCAUUUUGCUAAUGGUAGGAGAAACACAGCUGCAAAACAGUAUCUGUGGCUACCAACUGUACAUUCAUUCAAAUUGUAUUGUCAAAUGCUUUCCUCUCAGUGAGCAGAGCUCCAUGUCAUCAAGUCGUACCCAGCAGUUGCAUGCAUUUAGCUGGAUUCGCAACCACCUUGAGGAGCAUCCUGAAACCUCGCUGCCUAAACAAGAAAUUCUUUGUGACUUUGGAAAGAUCAUGAAGAACGUCUUUCCCAACAUGAAGGCACGUCGACUUGGCAUGCGAGGCAAAUCCAAAUAUCCUUCAGUGGAAAUUUUUAAGGCUUUUGUACACAUGCCAUCUCUUCCCAACCUAGAUCUUCACAAAUCAGGUGAUGGGUGUGAAGUGUUUGAACCUACUGGUCAACUGUCCAGUGCAGAAGACGAGGUGCGCAUGGCCGCAUGUGGGUUGGUGUGCGAGUGGGCACAGAAAGUGCUGAGUCGGCAGUUUGACAGCGUUGAGGAUCUGGCUCGAUUUCUUUUGAACAGCCACUAUAUUGGAACUAAGUCUGUGGCUGCUCUUACUGUGAUGACCGGUUCCCCCUCAGGUACACCUCAGGUUAAAACCCUGGUCUCACCCUCAGUAGAUGCCAAACAGCAGCUACAAAGGAAGAUCCAGAAGAAGCAGCAAGAACAGAAACUGCAUUCUCCACUCCCUGGUGAAGCUCAGGCCAGGAGGGCAGAUGGGGGCAUAACUCCUGGGGCAGGGACAGGCAUACCCUGUGGAAGUCCUGCUCUUCUCUCACCUCAACCUAUUGGGAUUGUGGUUGCAACUGUUUCCAGCCCUAUCACGGUUCAGAGGAGCAGGCAGUUGUUGUCUCCUAGCCCUGUUCCCAUGGGAGCUGCAGACAGCAAAGUUCUUCCUGUAAACUUUCAAGUGGUUACCCAGUCAGUGCAGCCUGUGAAGCAGUGCCCCAAGACACCUCAUAAUAUCUCGGCUAGUCCGAUAAGUGACCGGUCAGCCCGUCAUCGGUAUGCCCAAAUCCUGCCCAAGCCAUCUGCCUCAAGUGGCAUAACCCUGCGCUCACCAACAUUGCUUAUUACCAACAGCCCCAUCAAGACAGUAAUGUCAACUCCGCAUGUCAGUUCGGUCAAUGUAGUCAAGAUGACGACCAUAUCUCUAGGCUCUAAUGGCAGUGGGACCAGCACACCAGCCGAUAGCCCUGCCAGCAACAAAGUCAGACCCGCAUCUGCUGGAGUUGCCAGCCUCAAUGAUGAUCCACAGCCAGUUACGCGUGUUCGCAGUGGGUCUAUAGCUGUAAUGCCAUCUGUUUUGGCAAGGUCAGGCCGCUCAACAUCCAUGACCCCUGUCAUCGACACUAAAACAAAUACUGAAGCCAUAAUUGGAAGUGGUCAAGAGCACGGUGGUACAAGUAGACUGGCAACCACUCUGGACACCAUUGGUGGUGUACAGCGGUCAGGGAUAUUCAAACCAAGAGCGGCUAGCGUACCCACUCCUCUUGACAAGGGCUCUCUGGGAUUGGACACUCUAACAGGGACCAAAUGCAGUGAGAGGACACUCCUUAGUGUCAAAACUCUGUCUGCUGGCAGCAAUAAUAUGUCCAACACUAAUGAAAGCACUUUGUACCAGAACACAAGUAGCACUCAGUCAAACAGUGGUAAUGCGGUUGUGACAUCACCCAAAGAUGCAGUGUUGGCAUCCAAGAGCCCUCACAAAAGACCUGGCUUAUGCACUGAUUUGAGCCCAACACCUGUUAAAAAAGCCCACAUUUCUGUGCUACCAGCAGGUGGAACCGAUGGACUGAAGUCGAAUGUAAUGGCGAAGCAAAAUCCAAGAUCAAGCACUCCUAUAAAGACAGAAAGUGCACCUCUCACAGCCACAGGCAAAGCUACUGCAUCAGGUCAGGAUACUUCAGUGGGGAAUACCAUGUUUCAGACUGUUUGCAGACCCCGAAGCAUCUCCCAAGGGAGAUGGGAAGGAUCUUCAACAGGUGUUGAAGGUAGAGCUGUGGUCACCCGAACUGUUAGCGCUCCAGGUCAGGCUUUGCUACAACAAGUAACCAAAAACUCAAAGGAUUUGCUUCUAGACCAGUCUGACUCUUCUGCAGCAUAUGAACUGAAGAGUGUAUUUUGGGAUAGUGAGCUGCAAGAUGCUACUCAACAACAUCAGGAAGUUUAUGGCCCGCAAAUGGUGUCUGAGCCAAAGCAAAUGUCCACCCCAGUGAUGGAGCCCCUUCCUGCAAUUGCUCAAGCCUCUCCUUCCAACCAGCAGGCUCAAAUGGGUGACUAUAGAACCCAGGCCAACCUAAGCUACUUUCCGUUUGAUGAUGACAUGACUCAGGAUAGCAUUGUUGAGGAACUUGUACAAAUGGAAGAGCAGAUGAAAAUUAACAAUAGCAUACAAAAUUUCAGCAACUGUGUGGAUAAUGCACUGCAAGGCCAGCAACAAACCAUGCAGACUACCAUGAUGUCUACCCUCCAGACCAACACCCUGUAUUACAGCUCUGCUCAUAGCAGCAGCACCCCAAUCCAAACACCCACUCCUACACCUACUCCCACUUCUGAGAUGAUAGGAAGUGGUCAGGGUAUGAUGCACGAAAGCCCCUGUUCGCGCUUAGCCCCAACCACUCCGGUCGACAGCGCUCUUGGAAGUAGUCGACAAACACCUAUUGGCACGCCCCACUCCAACUGCAGCAGUAGUAUCCCACCAAGCCCUGUGGAAUGCAGGAACCCUUUUGCCUUUACUCCUAUUAACUCCAGUAUCACUGGAUACCAUGAUGGAAGUACCGUCUCCUCAAGCCCUGUCAAGCCCAUGCAAAGACCAAUGGCCACACAUCCAGAUAAGACUAAACUGGAAUGGAUGAACAGUGGGUACAGUAACAGUGGUGGGAACACCAACAAUGGCAUUAGCAUUCUGCCCAGCUACCGAGACCUAGUAGAUGACCACUUUCGAAAGCCUCACGCCUUUGCCAUCCCGGGCCAGACCUGUCAGUCGCAACCCAGAUAUCAUGAAACUCAUAUCAGCCGCUUGACACCCAUUUCGCCUGUCCAACAGCAAGUGGCAAGCAUGGCUAGCCUCAACAAGAAAGAGGGUUUUGCUGUUCCAGCACCCCUUGACAACAAGGCCAGCUCAGGGUCCGGAACAUUUCGAUGCCGCAGCGUUAGCCCAGCAGUCAGGCAGCGCAACUUGAGCGGGACCCAAAAUCCCAAUGUUCCCCACUCUGUGGUCUCUCCUUUCAACUCACCUGUAACACCUGAAGUGCUAAACAUCUUUUCUAACAGUGACCCUGAUGCAAGCAUCAGCAGCAUGGCACAGAGGAGUCAGUCUGUUCCAGUCACAGUGAUGAUGCAGUCUGAGGUUCUACCCAUGCAAGCAGGCCAGCAGAUGAAUACCAAAAACAUCACCAAUGUCCUCAUCAACAAAAUGGAUGGCGAAGGAGAUGACUCUGUGCGUGGCAUCGGAAUCAACAACAUGCCGUCCAACUACACUGCCCGCAUGAAUCUCACCCAGAUUCUAGAGACCACCACAGUGCCCAGCUUUCCUGGUAGUGCCAGCCACCAAGCUCUGAUCUCGCCUUGUUCAUCAGCCUUUGAGUCCCAGAAGCCUGCUUACCUCAUGAAAAAUGCCAGAGAGGAGCCAAUGAGCUUCUCUGUAGACGAAAGCCAAGCACAAUCAUUCCUUGGGCAGGAACAACAGAACAGAACUGUUAAAGAUCUUUUACAUGAGGAAAGCUUGAAUUCUGGCUCACAGCUUGUGGGUCAAGGAUCAGAGCUCCGUGCUGGGAGUUCAGAGUUUCCCAGCGAUAUGCGACUAACCUCUGAGCUUACCGGUAGCAUAAGUGACUUAAAUACAUUGGACACCAACCUUCUUUUUGACCCCAGUCAACAGCAAGGACAAUAUGAAGACUCGACACUGGAAGAACUGAAGAACGACCCACUUUUUCAACAGAUAUGCAGCGAGACUGUGAAUUCUGCGGGCUUUGACUGGUUGGAGAGCAAAGACCAGGCAACAGUGGAAAUGUUGGGUUAA